rnacentral:rRNA from 1 species
UCGUCACACUAUCAUUAACUGAAUCCAUAGGUUAAUGAGGCGAACCGGGGGAACUGAAACAUCUAAGUACCCCGAGGAAAAGAAAUCAACCGAGAUUCCCCCAGUAGCGGCGAGCGAACGGGGAGGAGCCCAGAGCCUGAAUCAGCAUGUGUGUUAGUGGAAGCGUCUGGAAAGGCGCGCGAUACAGGGUGACAGCCCCGUACACAAAAGCGCAUGUGCUGUGAGCUCGAUGAGUAGGGCGGGACACGUGGUAUCCUGUCUGAAUAUGGGGGGACCAUCCUCCAAGGCUAAAUACUCCUGACUGACCGAUAGUGAACCAGUACCGUGAGGGAAAGGCGAAAAGAACCCCGGCGAGGGGAGUGAAAAAGAACCUGAAACCGUGUACGUACAAGCAGUGGGAGCACCCUUUGGGUGUGACUGCGUACCUUUUGUAUAAUGGGUCAGCGACUUAUAUUCUGUAGCAAGGUUAACCGAAUAGGGGAGCCGGAGGGAAACCGAGUCUUAACCGGGCGUUAAGUUGCAGGGUAUAGACCCGAAACCCGGUGAUCUAGCCAUGGGCAGGUUGAAGGUUGGGUAACACUAACUGGAGGACCGAACCGACUAAUGUUGAAAAAUUAGCGGAUGACCUGUGGCUGGGGGUGAAAGGCCAAUCAAACCGGGAGAUAGCUGGUUCUCCCCGAAAGCUAUUUAGGUAGCGCCUCGUGAAUUCAUCUCCGGGGGUAGAGCACUGUUUCGGCUAGGGGGCCAUCCCGGCUUACCAACCCGAUGCAAACUGCGAAUACCGGAGAAUGUUAUCACGGGAGACACACGGCGGGUGCUAACGUCCGUCGUGAAGAGGGAAACAACCCAGACCGCCAGCUAAGGUCCCAAAGUCAUGGUUAAGUGGGAAACGAUGUGGGAAGGCCCAGACAGCCAGGAUGUUGGCUUAGAAGCAGCCAUCAUUUAAAGAAAGCGUAAUAGCUCACUGGUCGAGUCGGCCUGCGCGGAAGAUGUAACGGGGCUAAACCAUGCACCGAAGCUGCGGCAGCGACACUGUGUGUUGUUGGGUAGGGGAGCGUUCUGUAAGCCUGUGAAGGUGUGUCGUGAGGCAUGCUGGAGGUAUCAGAAGUGCGAAUGCUGACAUAAGUAACGAUAAAGCGGGUGAAAAGCCCGCUCGCCGGAAGACCAAGGGUUCCUGUCCAACGUUAAUCGGGGCAGGGUGAGUCGACCCCUAAGGCGAGGCCGAAAGGCGUAGUCGAUGGGAAACGGGUUAAUAUUCCCGUACUUGGUGUUACUGCGAAGGGGGGACGGAGAAGGCUAUGUUGGCCGGGCGACGGUUGUCCCGGUUUAAGCGUGUAGGUGUGUGUUCCAGGUAAAUCCGGUUCACUUUAACACUGAGGCGUGACGACGAGGCACUACGGUGCUGAAGCAACAAAUGCCCUGCUUCCAGGAAAAGCCUCUAAGCAUCAGGUAACAUCAAAUCGUACCCCAAACCGACACAGGUGGUCAGGUAGAGAAUACCAAGGCGCUUGAGAGAACUCGGGUGAAGGAACUAGGCAAAAUGGUGCCGUAACUUCGGGAGAAGGCACGCUGACACGUAGGU